rnacentral:rRNA from 1 species
CCUACGGGAGGCAGCAGUGAGGAAUAUUGGUCAAUGGACGAGAGUCUGAACCAGCCAAGUAGCGUGAAGGAUGACUGCCCUAUGGGUUGUAAACUUCUUUUAUAUGGGAAUAAAAUGUUCCACGUGUGGGAUUUUGUAUGUACCAUAUGAAUAAGGAUCGGCUAACUCCGUGCCAGCAGCCGCGGUAAUACGGAGGAUCCGAGCGUUAUCCGGAUUUAUUGGGUUUAAAGGGAGCGUAGGUGGAUUGUUAAGUCAGUUGUGAAAGUUUGCGGCUCAACCGUAAAAUUGCAGUUGAAACUGGCAGUCUUGAGUACAGUAGAGGUGGGCGGAAUUCAUGGUGUAGCGGUGAAAUGCUUAGAUAGCACGAAGAACUCCGAUUGCGAAGGCAGUUCACUGGACUGCAACUGACACUGAGGCUCGAAAGUGUGGGUAUCAAACAGGAUUAGAUACCCCUGUAGUC